UGUAAACCAGCUCGUGUCGAUGCUAUAGUAAAGAGUAGACCCAUGCACCUUCAAAUGUCAAAGGUGUCGAAAAGUGAACAAUAUUCUUUCAUAGAGAAAGAGAGAUCCAAAGAGAGAGAGCAGGGGAAGAUAAAUAGUGGCUAUGACUGUUAAGUGAGAAAGGUCAACAAAGUCCAGUUCCCACAUUCUCUUCUCUUGGUGGUAAGCAAGUGGGAGUGGGUGGCCGUCCCUCCAAUCUUGUCCUAUACUGUUUAUCUACACACAGUAUCCUAUACUCUAAUGUAUGUAUUGGGUUUGUAAAUACCUAGCUAGCAUGCUUUCUUUUGAACGGAUAUGCUUAUUUGGAUUUUGAAGAACAAGAAUAGACAGGAGAAUGCUCCAAUGGUGCUGUCUCCCCCAGAACAAGGAGGUGUCUAAAUACAAGGAAAAUAACAUCCGAGAAGUGACAUGGGCUUCGUCGAACUAGCAAUGUCAAGAAACCUUGAACCAUAUAGGUAGAUGGGUGGCAAGUAUGUUCAUGUAAUGAAAUACGAUGUUACAGGGUUAUCUAAUAGCUAAUCGAUCUUGUUUGCUUGUGUAAUAAUUGGGGUUUGCCAAAUCACAGAAUCGAUGGACCAGCUUACCAAAUUUUCACUUUACAAGCUAAGAUGUUUUGUUCUUUUUCU